UACGUAGGGGGCAAGCGUUGUCCGGAUUUAUUGGGCGUAAAGAGCGUGUAGGCGGCCAGGCAGGUCCGCUGUGAAAACUCGAGGCUCAACCUCGAGAGGUCGGUGGAAACCGUUUGGCUAGAGUCCGGAAGAGGAGAGUGGAAUUCCCCGGUGUAGCGGUGAAAUGCGCAGAUAUCGGGAAGAACACCCGUGGCGAAGGCGGCUCUCUGGGACGGUACUGACGCUGAGACGCGAAAGCGUGGGGAGCGAACAGG
rnacentral:rRNA from 1 species